CGGGCGUGGUCUGUGGGAUCUGGUGGGUGCACAACUUCUCUUGUUGGUGCAGUCUUUUGUUGGUUCCAAUACAGUGAUGCUCCUGGGUGACUCCAGUCUGAGAAAGAGGGAAAUGCAGGUCACGCUAGCUUGCAACCAUUUUUGGGAUGGAUUCAUCGAUAGAAUGCCGAGAUUUGCUUAAGAUCACGGAAGCUUGGGUUGAUGGAGUGCUUGUAUUUAGUUUUU